rnacentral:rRNA from 1 species
GUGGGGAAUAUUGGACAAUGGGCGAAAGCCUGAUCCAGCCAUGCCGCGUGUGUGAAGAAGGUCUUCGGAUUGUAAAGCACUUUAAGUUGGGAGGAAGGGUAGUAACCUAAUACGUUGCUACUUUGACGUUACCGACAGAAUAAGCACCGGCUAACUUCGUGCCAGCAGCCGCGGUAAUACGAAGGGUGCAAGCGUUAAUCGGAAUUACUGGGCGUAAAGCGCGCGUAGGUGGUUCGUUAAGUUGGAUGUGAAAGCCCCGGGCUCAACCUGGGAACUGCAUCCAAAACUGGCGAGCUAGAGUACGGUAGAGGGUGGUGGAAUUUCCUGUGUAGCGGUGAAAUGCGUAGAUAUAGGAAGGAACACCAGUGGCGAAGGCGACCACCUGGACUGAUACUGACACUGAGGUGCGAAAGCGUGGGGAGCAAACAGGAUUAGAUACCCCUGUAGUCC